UGCUCUUGGACUUUGGUGAUUUUAUUUAUGAAAUAGAUUGGGUUUGAUUUUAUUUGUGGACUUUGAGUUUUGGGUUUUAUUUGUGGACUUUGGAUUUUAUAGUUUUAUUUGGUGACUUUGGGUUUUGGAUUUUAUUUGUAGACUUUUGGUUUUGGAUUUUAUUUUUGGACUUUUGGAUUUUGGGAGUUUAUUUGCAUGUGGGUUUUGACUUUUAUUUGUGAAUUUUGGAUUUUAUUUGUGCACUUUUGGGUUUUG
rnacentral:lncRNA from 1 species